CAAUAGCGUACAUUUAAGUUGUUGCAGUUAAAAAGCUCGUAGUUGGAUUUCGGGUGGGACGCAGCGGUCUCGCAUUGCGUUUGUACUGCUGCAGCCCUCCUUCUUGCCGGGGGCGGCCUCUCGGACUUCACUGUCUGGGGGUCAGAAUCGGCGAUGUUACUUUGAGUAAAUUAGAGUGUUCAAAGCAAGCUUACGCUCUGAAUAUAAUAGCAUGGGAUAACACGACAGGACUCUGGCCUAUCGUGUUGGUCUAUAGGACCAGAGUAAUGAUUAAGAGGGACAGUCGGGGGCAUUCGUAUUCCGUUGUCAGAGGUGAAAUUCUUGGAUUUACGGAAGACGAACAUCUGCGAAAGCAUUUGCCAAGGAUGUUUUCAUUGA
rnacentral:rRNA from 1 species